GUAGGGAAUAUUGGGCAAUGGUCGGAAGACUGACCCAGCCAUGCCGCGUGCAGGAAGACGGCCCUCUGGGUUGUAAACUGCUUUUAUCUGGGAAGAAAAAGGCCAUGCGUGGCAAAUUGCCGGUACCAGAUGAAUAAGCACCGGCUAACUCCGUGCCAGCAGCCGCGGUAAUACGGAGGGUGCGAGCGUUGUCCGGAUUUAUUGGGUUUAAAGGGUGCGUAGGCGGCUGAUUAAGUCAGCGGUGAAAGACUUCGGCUGAACCGGAGCAGUGCCGUUGAUACUGGUUGGCUUGAGUGUCGGAGGGGUACAUGGAAUUGAUGGUGUAGCGGUGAAAUGCAUAGAUACCAUCAGGAACACCGAUAGCGAAGGCAUUGUACUGGCCGACAACUGACGCUGAUGCACGAAAGUGUGGGGAUCGAACAGGAUUAGAAACCCUGGUAGUCC
rnacentral:rRNA from 1 species